rnacentral:misc_RNA from 1 species
GAAAUGCGAUACGUAAUGUGAAUUGCAGAAUUCAGUGAAUCAUCGAAUCUUUGAACGCACAUUGCGCUCGCCAGUAUUCUGGCGAGCAUGCCUGUUCGAGCGUCAUUUCAACCAUCAAGCUCUGCUUGCGUUGGGGAUCCGCGGCUGCCCGCGGUCCCUCAAAAACAGUGGCGGGCUCGCUAGUCACACCGAGCGUAGUAACUCUACAUCGCUAUGGUCGUGCGGCGGGUUCUUGCCGUAAAACCCCCAAUUUCUAAGGUUGACCUCGGAUCAGGUAGGAAUACCCGCUGAACUUAAGC